rnacentral:rRNA from 1 species
GUCGAGCGGUAGAGAGAAGCUUGCUUCUCUUGAGAGCGGCGGACGGGUGAGUAAUGCCUAGGAAUCUGCCUAGUGGUGGGGGAUAACGUUCGGAAACGGACGCUAAUACCGCANACGUCCUACGGGAGAAAGCGGGGGAUCUUCGGACCUCGCGCCAUUAGAUGAGCCUAGGUCGGAUUAGCUAGUUGGUGAGGUAAUGGCUCACCAAGGCGACGAUCCGUAACUGGUCUGAGAGGAUGAUCAGUCACACUGGAACUGAGACACGGUCCAGACUCCUACGGGAGGCAGCAGUGGGGAAUAUUGGACAAUGGGCGAAAGCCUGAUCCAGCCAUGCCGCGUGUGUGAAGAAGGUCUUCGGAUUGUAAAGCACUUUAAGUUGGGAGGAAGGGUAGUAACCUAAUACGUUGCUACUUUGACGUUACCGACAGAAUAAGCACCGGCUAACUUCGUGCCAGCAGCCGCGGUAAUACGAAGGGUGCAAGCGUUAAUCGGAAUUACUGGGCGUAAAGCGCGCGUAGGUGGUUCAGUAAGUUGGAAGUGAAAUCCCCGGGCUCAACCUGGGAACUGCUUUCAAAACUGCUGAGCUAGAGUACGGUAGAGGGUGGUGGAAUUUCCUGUGUAGCGGUGAAAUGCGUAGAUAUAGGAAGGAACACCAGUGGCGAAGGCGACCACCUGGACUGAUACUGACACUGAGGUGCGAAAGCGUGGGGAGCAAACAGGAUUAGAUACCCUGGUAGUCCACGCCGUACACGAUGUCAACUAGCCCUUGGAAUCCUUGAGAUUUUAGUGGCGCAGCUAACGCAUUAAGUUGACCGCCUGGGGAGUACGGCCGCAAGGUUAAAACUCAAAUGAAUUGACG